rnacentral:rRNA from 1 species
CCUACGGGCGGCAGCAGUAGGGAAUUUUCGUCAAUGGGCGCAAGCCUGAACGAGCAAUGCCGCGUGAACGAUGAAGGUCUUCGGAUCGUAAAGUUCUGUUGUAGGGGAAAAAGAUCGGAGAGAGGAAAUGGUCUCCGAUUGAUAUUACCCUUCCAGGAAGUCACGGCUAACUACGUGCCAGCAGCCGCGGUAAUACGUAGGUGGCGAGCGUUAUCCGGAAUGAUUGGGCGUAAAGGGUGCGUAGGCGGCCUGCUAAGUCUGGAGUGAAAGGUACCGGCUCAACCGGUACAGGCUCUGGAAACUGGCGGGCUAGAGAGCAGGAGAGGGAAGUGGAACUCCAUGUGUAGCGGUAAAAUGCGUAGAUAUAUGGAAGAACACCAGUGGCGAAGGCGGCCGCCUGGCCUGUUACUGACGCUGAGGCACGAAAGCGUGGGGAGCAAAUAGGAUUAGAUACCCGAGUAGUC